UGAACUAUAGCUCAAUGGUAGAGCGCUCCACUCAUAAUGGAUUGAUCUCGGUUCAAUUCCGAGUAGUUCAA
rnacentral:tRNA from 3 species